rnacentral:rRNA from 1 species
AAAGCUCCGGCGGUGAAGGAUGAGCCCGCGGCCUAUCAGCUUGUUGGUGAGGUAGUGGCUCACCAAGGCGACGACGGGUAGCCGGCCUGAGAGGGCGACCGGCCACACUGGGACUGAGACACGGCCCAGACUCCUACGGGAGGCAGCAGUGGGGAAUAUUGCACAAUGGGCGAAAGCCUGAUGCAGCGACGCCGCGUGAGGGAUGACGGCCUUCGGGUUGUAAACCUCUUUCAGCAGGGAAGAAGCGAAAGUGACGGUACCUGCAGAAGAAGCGCCGGCUAACUACGUGCCAGCAGCCGCGGUAAUACGUAGGGCGCAAGCGUUGUCCGGAAUUAUUGGGCGUAAAGAGCUCGUAGGCGGCUUGUCACGUCGGUUGUGAAAGCCCGGGGCUUAACCCCGGGUCUGCAGUCGAUACGGGCAGGCUAGAGUGUGGUAGGGGAGAUCGGAAUUCCUGGUGUAGCGGUGAAAUGCGCAGAUAUCAGGAGGAACACCGGUGGCGAAGGCGGAUCUCUGGGCCAUUACUGAC